UUUCCGUAGGUGAACCUGCGGAAGGAUCAUUAUUGAAUAAAACACUUCUGGCUUUAUGCUGUUGUGCUGGCCCUUUGGGCAAUGUGCACACGGCUCUGGUCACUUGUUUCUUCUGUUCCACCUGUGCACUGCCUGUAGACACGCUGUGUCUAUGAUAUUUGUUAACACACAACAAUGUUAGUUGGCAUGUUAUAUAUAAUAAUAAAAUAUACAACUUUCAACAACGGAUCUCUUGGCUCUC
rnacentral:misc_RNA from 1 species